rnacentral:rRNA from 1 species
GAAUUCUGGACAAUGGGCGAAAGCCUGAUCCAGCAACGCCGCGUGCAGGAUGAAGGCCUUCGGGCUGUAAACCGCUUUUCUACGGAACGAAAAGCUGUGGGUUAUUACCCUUCACUCAUUACCGCACCGCAAGACGAAGACCCGGCUAACUACGUCCCAGCAGCCGCGGUAAUACGUAGGGUGCAAGCGUUAAUCGGAAUUACUGGGCGUAAAGCGUGCGCAGGCGGUUUUGUAAGACAGAGGUGAAAUCCCCGGGCUCAACCUGGGAACUGCCUUUGUGACUGCAAGGCUAGAGUACGGCAGAGGGGGGUGGAAUUCCGCGUGUAGCAGUGAAAUGCGUAGAUAUGCGGAGGAACACCGAUGGCGAAGGCAACCCCCUGGGCCUGUACUGACGCUCAUGCACGAAAGCGUGGGGAGCAAAC